AUCUAGCUGACGAGUUUCAAAUGGGACUCAACGCGCGUCCUGGAU
rnacentral:hammerhead_ribozyme from 1 species